AUGUAUAUGUGUUUACAUUUUUUUUUUUUUUUUUUUACACAGGUGCUGGUUGUCUGGGACAUGGAUUUAAAUAAAGCCAGAAAUUAUCGAAUCUUUGAGGAGGAGCAGCGGUUGUAUCUGGAGGCAGAUCUGACUUUCCCGUCUUUAUCUGUCCUGGUUGAACACUAUCACAUCAACCCACUGCCCAGCAGUAACAACUCAAUGCCCAACUAUUCCCUCUGUUUACAUACACCCUUCGGCUACGUCCCACCCAGGUGACAUCGAGCCCCUGUCCCGUGCUGAAACACCCCAACACCUGGUGCUGGUGCUGGGCCUGACAGCGCCACCUGCUGGUGAACACCUCCAUCACACCUGAGCACUGGGAAUAUCAAUGAAUAAUAAAUCAGUGCUAAUGAACUGCUCAUUUAAGUCCAGUGUUCAGAAGGGAGUCUUAAUAUCACAAUGACAAAUAUCCAGUGAACUGAACAGUAUUGAACUGCAGGUCUAAAGUACACAUGCUAUACUGAAUGUUAAUAUAUUGUAGCUUGACUGAUUGACAUGUCAUGUGAUUAAUCGCUGUUUGUUUUGUUUAUUGGUGUGUUUAUCUGCGAUAUCUAGUUCAACUGCUGUUAAGUGUUUUGAUUUGACGCCACUAACCUUGAAACUAUAGCAAACCCAGAGAUUAUUUGAUGCUAAAAGAUGCUCGCUGUGUGGAACAUGGCCGGCUCAUAUUUCAAUCCAAAAUUAAAAGAUAACAAUUAGAAAUUGUUCAUGGCUAAAGGAAAAUUGUGUUUAUUUUUAGGACCAUUAGGAUUUGUGUUACUGUCUCCCUAUUGCAUCAUGACAAAAUUAUGUAAUGCAUUAUUGUAAUAUUAUUUAAAUAUCAUUUAAAUAGGGAAAUAUUGGGUAUAAUUUUGCUGUCUUUUAUUCAAGCUGAUUGUGAAAAUAAAUAGUAAAAUAGUAAUAAUAAUAAACAAUAAUAAAAAGCAAUAAAAGAACAAUACUGGUAUUAGGAAAACCCAUUAAAAUUAUUAUAGAUUUUUAUUUUAUUUAUUUUUUUGUAAGAAUUCAAUAACAAAUCUACAAAUACACUUAAUUUUUAUUCAACAUAUUUUUGGGUUGAUUUGUAUGUUCAGCCAGCUGUAUGAAAGUUUGUUGUUAAAUAUUUAUGUCCCAAUAUUCAUGUUUGUGAUGUCAUCAUCGUUAUUAUCAAGUGCUGCACAUGACGGAUCUGAACCACAUGUCAUUGUAAAAAGCCUGAAUGUUAUUGUAAUAUUUCAGUUAUAUGUAUUAUUUUAUUGUACAGAUUUUGUAUCAUAGUGUACAUUAUGUAAGUCAUUUAAUAACUGGAUAUUAUGAUGUUUGUACACUUUACACUGUUGUGAGGUGAAUUAUACACACUUUUAAACUAAAUACACAUUUAAAAAAUAAAUCAAAUAAUUAAGAAUUGGAAAAGACUUGCUUAUUUACAUAUGCAAAUGAAUAAGAAUAGUGACAAUACAAGAAUUCUUCUUGACUUUUUCAUACAUAAUAAAAUAAUUCCACCUCAAAUCAAUGUUUCAUAUACAUGGGAAGUACAUUUAUAAAUGAUGCUAAAAUUGAAUGCUUUCAGAAACUACAUUUUUAAUUGUGUUUGUAUUGUUUCUGUGGUCGAUAUAACUCUUGAAAAUGAAGACAAAACUCCAGAUGGCUUCAUAUUCUGCUAACCUGAUAUAUAAUUUAUGACAAACCAAACUUAGCAAUGCAUUAAUGGCUUCACAAAAGCUUAUUUGACAAAUUACAUAAUUAAUGACUAGAGGAUUUCACUGUCUCAAGCCAGUAUGUUCCCUUUACUAUUUUAACUAUUUCUUUAGUAAGUCUAUACUGUAGCUACAAAUACAUAAAGCUAUUUUGAAGUCGACAUCUUCGAC
ensembl:lncRNA